GAUGAACGCUGGCGGCGUGCUUAACACAUGCAAGUCGAACGAUGAAGCUCAGCUUGCUGGGUGUAUUAGUGGCGAACGGGUGUGUAAAACAUGAGUAACCUGCCCUUAACACUUUGAUAAGCCUUGGAAACUAUGUCUAAUACCGGGGAUAGGCGUCCCCCCCAUAGGGGGGGUUGUGAAGAUUUAUCGGUUUUGGAUGGACUCGCGGCCUAUCAGCUUGUUGGUGAGGUAAUGGCUCACCAAGGCGAUGACGGGUAGCCGGCCUGAGAGGGUGACCGGCCACACUGGGACUGAGACACGGCCCAGACUCCUACGGGAGGCAGCAGUGGGGAAUAUUGCACAAUGGGCGAAAGCCUGAUGCAGCAACGCCGCGUGAGGGAUGACGGCCUUCGGGUUGUAAACCGCUUUCAGCAGGGAAGAAGCGAAAGUGACGGUACCUGGAGAAGAAGCACCGGCUAACUACGUG
rnacentral:rRNA from 1 species